UCCCUUGAAAUUAAGAUAGCACCAAGUUACUUACCUUCCGAAUUAAAGAAAAUGCAUGUCAAUUAUCACUGUUGAUUCAAGGAUGACUAGCUAAAACUCAGGUCCCACAUGGACUAUUGCUGGCCAAUCUGAGCUCAACACAGCAUUGAGUUCGCAAUCAAUAUAUCCAAGUUGCAAUUCGCUUCAAUCGAGAGGAAAAAUAGACGAGA
rnacentral:lncRNA from 1 species